rnacentral:rRNA from 1 species
AGAGUUUGAUCCUGGCUCAGAGCGAACGCUGGCGGCAUGCUUAACACAUGCAACUCGCACGGGCAGGGCAACCUGUCAGUGGCGGACGGGUGAGUAACGCGUAGGAAUCUAUCCUUGGGUGGGGGACAACCGUGGGAAACUACGGCUAAUACCGCAUGAUCCCUGAGGGGCAAAGGCGAAAGUCGCCUAAGGAGGAGCCUGCGUCUGAUUAGGUAGUUGGUGGGGUAAAGGCCUACCAAGCCUGCGAUCAGUAGCUGGUCUGAGAGGAUGAUCAGCCACACUGGGACUGAGACACGGCCCAGACUCCUACGGGAGGCAGCAGUGGGGAAUAUUGGACAAUGGGCGAAAGCCUGAUCCAGCAAUGCCGCGUGGAUGAAGAAGGUCUUCGGAUUGUAAAGUCCUUUUGGCGGGGACGAUGAUGACGGUACCCGCAGAAUAAGCUCCGGCUAACUUCGUGCCAGCAGCCGCGGUAAUACGAAGGGGGCUAGCGUUGCUCGGAAUGACUGGGCGUAAAGGGCGCGUAGGCGGACGGCACAGUCAGGCGUGAAAUUCCUGGGCUCAACCUGGGGACCGCGUCUGAGACGUGUUGUCUUGAGUAUGGAAGAGGGUUGUGGAAUUUCCAGUGUAGAGGUGAAAUUCGUAGAUAUUGGAAAGAACACC